CCUGUACCCAUGUAUAAUACGCACCCAAUUUUUAUGAAUUUUUUUUAUGAAUUUCUUUUUUUUUUUUUUAAGUCCCAAUGAUUGUCACACACGCAGGGAGGCAAUGGGUCCCAUUUUUAUAGUCUUUGGUAUGGUCUUAACUAGGCUGGAUGUAAUUUUUUUUGUUGGCGUUGAUUUCUCCGACUGCCCAUAAACGCACCACCGCGCUCCGUGCGCGCACGGGAAAGAGGCGUGCGGACGUGAAAAAGGCGGCUCUGUAUGGGAGAGACGUUGAAGAGGAAUAAAAACACCCUUGGAAACCAAAACUUGGUGAUUUCAAGUUUCAUUUCGAGGGACAUUUGUCACGUCUCGUCCCCAGUUUUGCUAUGUGUCUAGGUUGCCAUAGUUUCUGUUCGCGUCGCCCCUCUCUUCCUGUGUCACCUCAAUCGAUGUAACGUGUUUUGUAUUUAAGUCCUGUCUGCCCCUCGCUCACCGUCGGAUCAUUGCAUGUGUUACUGUCAUGAUGUCUGUUUGGUUUCUGUUCCUGUCUUUGGUAAUGUCACCCUGUCUUUUUGUUCCACGACUUUGUCGGUCAGUCCUGUUGUUGGUUUUGUUUUCUAAAAAAAAAAAAAAAAUUUCUAAAAAAAAUUUACAUUUUUUUUGUACCCAUGUAUAAUGCGCACCCCAGAUUUUAGGACAAUAAAUUUGUUAAAUUCUGCGCACUAUACACGGAAAAAAACGGUACUCAAAGUUCAAAGUUCAAAGUCAGCUUUAUUGUCAAUUCCUUCAUAUGUCAAGACACACAAAGAAACCGAAAUUCCGUUUCCUCCAUUACUCAUUAUUAUUGUGUGUUGUCAAAGUAAAUGUUUGCUUUAUUGUCAAUUUCUUCACAUGUCAAGACACACAAAGAGAUUGAAAUUACGUUCCCGCUAUCCCACGGUGACAAGACAAAGAAGAAGGGGGGAGAGAGUUCAGGAUCCUAACAGCCUGGAGUAUGAAGCUGUUGGAAAGCAGCAUUCAACGUGCUUCAAGUUAUCUGAUCACAGUCCAGGAUGAAUCAACCAACCAUGGAGAUGUCAGUUGGUUGAGGAAACAGGACAGACUCUGCAAUUCCAGUGCUGGGGUCACGGGCCGACGAUUAAAGGCUAAAUCACACCAUUUUUAGCUAAUCAGCGUUGCUACAGCCCCAAUUUUAGUGUAGCAACGCCUCUGUAACCAGGGCAACCAAAACAUUAAAAAGAGGGGCACGUGGAGUAAGGACUCAGAAUUGAUGGAGAUUGUAACUGAGUUUCCUUUCUCUAUCGUUGUCCUCGCAAGUAAACCUA